rnacentral:tRNA from 1 species
GGGAUUGUAGCUCAGUGGUAGAGCUCUCAUCUAGCAUGUGUGAGGCCCUGGGUUCGAUCCUCAGCACCA